rnacentral:misc_RNA from 1 species
AAGUCGUAACAAGGUUUCCGUAGGUGAACCUGCGGAAGGAUCAUUAACAAAAUCUAAUUUUACCUUUGUGAAUUGGGCAAUCAAGCAAUUGAUUGUUUUAUUUUUUUACUUUAGUCUAAAUCUAUACAAUAAUUAUAUAAUAAUUUUUAACAAUGGAUCUCUAGGCUCUU